rnacentral:tRNA from 1 species
GGGGCUGGAGCUCAGUGGUCGAGCAUCUACUUGGCACACGGAACGUCCCAGGUUCGAUCUCCGGCAUCUCCA